CACACACACACACGCACACAUACAUUUUUCCUUGCUCUGCUUUUCUGUACUUUCUCCCGACCUGCUUGCUCUCCACCUUCUCCUCUCCCUUCCUCUUCCCCGGCACCUUUUUUCAUUGUGGAACACAGAGGACAGACACAGAGCUGCUCCAUAAUGCAGAGGAAGAGGCCAGCGGUCCUGGAUGCUGACCCAGGUGAUACACACUCUGCAGAAGGGCCCCCAUAUGCCGCCGGACCUCCAUCGUCCACAGGAAAAACACACGACGUCAGACACACACUCGCGUGUGUCAUGUGAUCAGGGCCUGAGGGAACCAGAAGAAAUUAACACGGAGACCAAACGCGAAGGAGGCUAAAGGAAAGGAAAGCAGCGUGGAGCCGGCGGGCCGCUGGGACCGGGACGGCCAUUUCCGCUUCUUAAGAUAGCUUCACCCAUCCACAGCUCCCCCUGGUUCCUGUCUCUCCUGUUAAAUCCCAAUUUUAAAAAGUGCCCUUUCUGGUUAAUUACCAUCUCUUUAUAGUCUCCUGUUAAGUGCAGAGGGAAUACAGAAAGAGAGAGAAAGAGAAAUAAAGAACAAAAGAAAGAAUAGACAAUAACUGUGUUAACCCAGUCACAUAAUGUGAGUAUCCUGGAGAAGUAGGGGGGAGGCAGGGGGCAGGUGGGGAGUGCAGGCAGGGAGGCGAAGGGCAGGCGGGGGCAGUGCCCCCAGUGAGAGCAUGAAGGGGAGACACAUGAGAAGGAGAAUUAUGGAGUAGCGAGCGACGGACAACAUCAGGAGCGGAAAGGGACAGGGAUGCAGGCAGGAAGUGAGGGUGACCAGACAGUAAGUCGCAAUGAAAAGAGGACAGGCAGAAAAUGAAGGUGGACAGCCGGAAUCGAGCAUGUCCAAAGGCAGCCUGGUCCACAGGACUGGCAGCAGCCGCAGUUUGAAACAGAGGCAGCGGGAGAAGGGUGAGAAAACAACUGAUUCACCUUAAAAGGGAAUGAGCAACAUACUGGCAUCCUGCCUGGGCUGCCCCCAUGACCCUGACUUGGGUACGCCAUAACAAGAUGGAUGGAUGGAUGGAUGGAUGGAUGGAUGGAUGGAUGGAUGGAUGGAUGGAUGGAUGGAUGGAGUUACUGGUUCUGUUAAAGGCAUAUUUUCAGUCAGCAAGCAGCAAGGAGCUGGUGCUGGAAACUUUAACUUCAUUACCAACUCUGACAUCAUUCAUUGUCAGAAAGUGGAAAUCUGGGGCAGUUUGUCCUCCUAAAAGUGGGGGUGUCAUUUCUAUGGUGCUUCUUUCUACAAAAACCUAGAGGCAGAGAUUCGUGAGAGAAAGAGGAGUUAGACAUACACAAAAGAAUGCAAACAGACAAAGGAAGAGGUGGAGAGACAGAGCGACGGAGCAAAGAGAGAGAGAUAGGCAGACGGCGUGGUGGCCGAGCCGCCCGACGCAGUCGCUCUCUCCCUCUAUCCUCCCUCACAUGUAAAGCGUCCCGCCCGCCCGCCGCGCUCCCUCUCGCCACUCCUUGCCCACCCCCCAUCUGUCACCAUCAUCACCGUCCAACCGCACCGCGAGCCUGAAUCCCGCACCAUGCCGUACUCCGCUCAGCACUCGCUGACUGGCUUAAUUUGAUGUGGACCUAUUCCUCCAAAUAUGUCUGUACAGACAGCAACACAAACACAAGUAUUCUUUUUUUUGCCACCUAAUCACAAGACACCUACUACACAAAGCGUGCACACACACCUAUCUGAAUACUUACUUGCCUUGUGUCGGGCUGAGUGUGGGUACAGUGUGUGUGUACAAGGACACACACAUCAACACACUAGCACAGUGCUGAUUGUUGGUUUCUAUAACCAGACUAUAGUCCCUCGUUUAUCUUCGGAACUCUUGUCACCUGAAGCCAAUAACGGAUAUUCUCUGUUUUUGAUUUCACUAUCACCGGUAAUAAUAUUUUAAUAUUUCAGUAACCGUACUGUGCUCAUAGUCCACUAUAUGCGUUAUAUUGCUCCUUUCCUUCUGUGUAAUUCAGCGACCGUGCCUGGUUUAACAACAUAGGCACAUUUUUAACAUUAACCCCCUCUACCACUUCUAGACCUCCAUCGCUGCCAUCGUUCUUUUGUCUUUAAAUUGACUGCCUCCGGUUUCUUUCUAUGUACGCCCCCUCCAGCGUUACCCUGGACGAACUAGGAGCCCCCCACCCUUCACCAGCUACCGACACGCACGUUUUUUUUUCCCAAGUUUUGCACCUUUUCUUCUUAAAACGCAGCGGCUCUUGCUUUUCUCCCAGUUGCUAGUGUUUUCCUGCGGUUCAGAUGACGGUCGCCCUUGCUGUCUUACGAUUCACGGCGCUCCAGCCGCCGGUGCGGUGUCUGCGCUUCCCAAACCUCUUGGGUGUCUUUAUAUGUUUUCGUGCACAAACUACACGUCCUGCUUCGCGACUCCUCCGUUUUUAAAUUGGGAUUCCCUUGCUGCCGGUUCCUGGUUUGACUGGGAUUCCCACGCCGCGCUUUCCUGAUUUAUACUGGGAUCCCUCAGCUGUCUGUCGAUUCACGGUGUGGCGGAGUGCGGUCUGCUGAUCUGUGUGAAGGAGAAGGUGUCUCCCCCGUCCAACCCCACCCCACCCCGCACUCUGACUCAUUUUCAGCCGCCGAUACGGCAGCAGUGACCUACAAUGUGUAAUCGUGUGUGCUGUUGACACAUGUUCCAUCAUAUGGUAUACACACGUAUAUGAAACAUCUAUACGUGUGAUGUGUUCUUGCAAUUAUCCAUUUCACUUGUGCGAUUGCAAGCAUAACUGAUAAAAAUAGCCGUGAUCGAUAUGGUAGGAAUAAAAAUAGGGGGAAAGCAAUGUGGGUCUUUUCGCCUUUAUAAUCAAUGAGUCCGUGCUUAAUUGAUUCCCACCACGUUUCAAUAUGAACUCUGAUCGGUCUGUCUGCGUGGGCAUCGUCGCGGUCAGUUCGGGGGUUGAUAGCUUGGGAAUGAUAAGCCUUCACCAAAAUAUGAUUAAUCCCCACUAGAACCAGCUCCGAACUAAAACUAAAUAAAUGAAAAGCAUAAAGAUAGCACCAGUGCUCUGUGGCGACUGCAGUCCCCCGCUGACACCCAGAGGACAUAACCCACAGCUAAUAGUUAUGUGAUAUUCCCCAUAAUCAUUGAUUAAAAAAAGCAGAGAUAUAACUCUGGUGAAAUCUCGGCAUUGCACCCCCUCCCCCCAGAGUCAUUGAGCUGGUGCAGUAGCUGCGGUAACGCCGUUCCAUGUCACGUGUUCACGGUGGGUGUGCCAUGAAGGCGCCUCUGACUUGUAGUUUUAUACCAAAACAGCGUGAACAUGUCAUUCAGCAGGGACUGUACCUGCAUUUACUACCAUUAAGAAAUACGUCGUGCCGUACCUUAUAUAUUUACCUUUUCUGUAUUUGACCCCCACCCCCUCCAGCUUCCCACUAACUGCCGGAGGGAGGGCGGCGAAGAGAGCACGGCGCAGGUGCGAGAGGACAGAUGAGGGGAAGGAGGGAUCCAGGGGGAUUCAGAGGCCAAUCAGCCUGAUGAUGCCCUCCUCAGGGCCUCUGUGCCCCCCGAGUUCCCUGUCCAUUCCAUCACAGAGUCCAGGUCAGAGUCCCCGUAUGCUGAUGAAUUCAGCCAUUGUGCUGUCAUUCCCAUAUCCAGAAUGCUAACCUGUGUAUUAAACAGUUCCAGUGUGUCCCUGGUCCUCUGUGGUGUCACAGCUAAUACCCAUUAUACCAAAAAGGCCUUUUCAGUUUGUGUUGUGUUGUAGUGUAUUGUCUGACAAUUUGCCUGACUGUUCUUGUACUAUGUGUUUGUAUCUGUGCACGCAAUCACAUUUCCCCUCAGGAUCAAUAAAGUACGCAAAGAUCGAUCAAUCUA